rnacentral:lncRNA from 10 species
UCUAGAGGAAGGUCAUAUUCCAGUUAAACUCCACCGUUUUGCCUCUUAGUGUGCAUGCUUGAACCCAGUCACCCAACUCCUGAGAUCUCAUCGCGAGGCUGCUGAUCACCAGUUUCAGAAUUGGGUUUGUUGUCAGAAGAGUGAGUUUCCUAUAAAAGCAAAUUUGGCCCCCUCUUGGUCGUGCUCACACUUCUUGCCUUUCCACCUUCUGCCAUGGAAUGACACAGGAAAAAGGCCUUCAUCAGAUGCCAGCCCCAUAACCUUGGAUUUCCAGCCUCCAGAACUGUAUG